GAAUGCGAAUGGCUCAUUAAAUCAGUUAUCGUUUAUUUGAUAGUACCUUACUACAUGGAUACCUGUGGUAAUUCUAGAGCUAAUACAUGCUGAAAACCUCGACUUCGGAAGGGGUGUAUUUAUUAGAUAAAAAACCAAUGCCCUUCGGGGCUCCUUGGUGAAUCAUAAUAACUUAACGAAUCGCAUGGCCUUGCGCCGGCGAUGGUUCAUUCAAAUUUCUGCCCUAUCAACUUUCGAUGGUAGGAUAGUGGCCUACCAUGGUGGCAACGGGUAACGGGGAAUUAGGGUUCGAUUCCGGAGAGGGAGCCUGAGAAACGGCUACCACAUCCAAGGAAGGCAGCAGGCGCGCAAAUUACCCAAUCCCGACACGGGGAGGUAGUGACAAUAAAUACUGAUACGGGGCUCUUUUGGGUCUCGUAAUUGGAAUGAGUACAAUCUAAAUCCCUUAACGAGGAACAAUUGGAGGGCAAGUCUGGUGCCAGCAGCCGCGGUAAUUCCAGCUCCAAUAGCGUAUAUUAAAGUUGUUGCAGUUAAAAAGCUCGUAGUUGAACCUUGGGUCUGGCUGGCCGGUCCGCCUCACCGCGAGUACUGGUCCGGCUGGACCUUUCCUUCUGGGGAAUCUCAUGGCCUUCACUGGCUGUGGGGGGAACCAGGACUUUUACUGUGAAAAAAUUAGAGUGUUCAAAGCAGGCCUUUGCUCGAAUACAUUAGCAUGGAAUAAUAGAAUAGGACGUGCGGUUCUAUUUUGUUGGUUUCUAGGACCGCCGUAAUGAUCAAUAGGGAUAGUCGGAGGCGUCAGUAUUCCGCUGUCAGAGGUGAAACUCUUGUAUUUGCUGAAUAUUAACUACUGCGAC
rnacentral:rRNA from 1 species